GACGAACGCUGGCGGCGUGCUUAACACAUGCAAGUCGAACGGAAAGGCCCUGCUUUUGUGGGGUGCUCGAGUGGCGAACGGGUGAGUAACACGUGAGUAACCUGCCCUUGACUUUGGGAUAACUUCAGGAAACUGGGGCUAAUACCGGAUAGGAGCUCCUGCUGCAUGGUGGGGGUUGGAAAGUUUCGGCGGUUGGGGAUGGACUCGCGGCUUAUCAGCUUGUUGGUGGGGUAGUGGCUUACCAAGGCUUUGACGGGUAGCCGGCCUGAGAGGGUGACCGGCCACAUUGGGAAUGGAGUGCGGCCCAGACUCCUACGGGAGGGAACAGUGGGGAAUAGUGAACAAUGGGGGGAAGGCUUAUGCAGCAACGCCGCGGGCGGGAUGACGGCCUUCGGGUUGUAAACCUCUUUCGCCUGUGACGGAGCGUGAGGGGGGGUAAAUGGGAAAAAAACAACGGGUAACUAAGGU
rnacentral:rRNA from 1 species